rnacentral:tRNA from 1 species
GGAGAUGUACCCAAGUGGCUGAAGGGUCCGCACUCGAAAUGCGGUAGAUCGGGCAACCGGUGCGAGGGUUCAAAUCCCUCCAUCUCCGC